UAGGGAAUCGUUCGGCAAUGGACGAAAGUCUGACCGAGCAACGCCGCGUGAGUGAAGAAGGUUUUCGGAUCGUAAAACUCUGUUGGUAGAGAAGAACGUUGGUGAGAGUGGAAAGCUCAUCAAGUGACGGUAACUACCCAGAAAGGGACGGCUAACUACGUACCAG
rnacentral:rRNA from 1 species